rnacentral:ncRNA from 1 species
UUGAUAGUGAUAUUAUGGGUGAAGGAAGUGGUGUAACAAUUCUUUUGAGCGUACGAACAGAAACUUGAUGAGGCUAAAUGGUGGAUAAGGUUGCUAAGCAAACCGAAGUCCAAAAGGUAAACGUAAAACCAAGACGUUGUGAAAGAAACUUGUUUGUAAU